rnacentral:rRNA from 1 species
UACGUAGGGACCAAGCGUUGUUCGGAUUUACUGGGCGUAAAGGGCGCGUAGGCGGCGUGGUAAGUCACUUGUGAAAUCUCCGAGCUUAACUCGGAACGGUCAAGUGAUACUGCUGUGCUAGAGUACAGAAGGGGCAAUCGGAAUUCUUGGUGUAGCGGUGAAAUGCGUAGAUAUCAAGAGGAACACCUGAGGUGAAGACGGGUUGCUGGGCUGAUACUGACGCUGAGGCGCGAAAAGCUAGGGUAGCAAACGGG